UUGGAGGGCAAGUCUGGUGCCAGCAGCCGCGGUAAUUCCAGCUCCAAUAGCGUAUAUUAAAGUUGUUGCAGUUAAAAAGCUCGUAGUUGAAUUUCGGGAUCAAGGAAUCGGUCAUGCCUUGGUAUGUACUGGUUUUAUUGGUUCUCACCUUCUAAAGAACCAUAAUGUCAUUCAUUUGAUGUUAUGGGGAAUUAGGACUGUUACCUUGAAAAAAUUAGAGUGUUUAAAGCAGGCUUACGCUUGAAUACAUUAGCAUGGAAUAAUGAAAUAGGACAUCAGAUUCUAUUUUGUUGGUUUCUAGGAUCGAUGUAAUGAUUAAUAGGGAUAGUUGGGGGCAUUGGUAUUCAAUUGUCAGAGGUGAAAUUCUUGGAUUUAUUGAAGACUAACUACUGCGAAAGCAUUUGCCAAGGAUGUUUUCAUUAAUCAAGAACGAAAGUUAGGGGAUCGAAGACGAUCAGAUACCGUCGUAGUCUUAACCAUAAACUAUGCCGACUAGGGAUCGGAUGAUGUUAAUUUUAUAAUGACUCAUUCGGCACCUUACGGGAAAC
rnacentral:rRNA from 1 species